rnacentral:rRNA from 1 species
GUUGAACGCUGGCGGCGUGCCUAACACAUGCAAGUCGAGCGAACAGACGAGGAGCUUGCUUCUCUGACGUUAGCGGCGGACGGGUGAGUCACACGUGGAUAACCUACCUAUAAGACUGGGAUAACUUCGGGAAACCGGAGCUAACACCGGACAAUAUAUUGAACCGCAUGGUUCAAUAGUGAAAGAGGGUUUUGCUGUCACUUAUAGAUGGAUCCGCGUCGCAUUAGCUAGUUGGUAAGGUAACGGCUUACCAAGGCAACGAUGCGUAGCCGACCUGAGAGGGUGAUCAGCCACACUGGAACUGAGACACGGUCCAGACUCCUACGGGAGGCAGCAGUGGGGAAUCUUCCGCAAUGGGCGAAAGCCUGACGGAGCAACGCCGCGUGAGUGAUGAAGGUCUUCGGAUCGUAAAGCUCUGUUAUUAGGGAAGAACAAAUGUGUAAGUAACUAUGCACGUCUUGACGGUACCUAAACAGAAAGCCACGGCUAACUACGUG